rnacentral:rRNA from 1 species
GACGAACGCUGGCGGCGUGCCUAAUACAUGCAAGUAGAACGCUGAAGGAGGAGCUUGCUUCUCUGGAUGAGUUGCGAACGGGUGAGUAACGCGUAGGUAACCUGCCUGGUAGCGGGGGAUAACUAUUGGAAACGAUAGCUAAUACCGCAUAAUAGUAGAUGUCGCAUGACAUUUGCUUAAAAGGUGCAAUUGCAUCACUACCAGAUGGACCUGCGUUGUAUUAGCUAGUUGGUGAGGUAACGGCUCACCAAGGCAACGAUACAUAGCCGACCUGAGAGGGGGAUCGGCCACACUGGGACUGAGACACGGCCCAGACUCCUACGGGAGGCAGCAGUAGGGAAUCUGCGGCAAUGGACGGAAGUCUGACCGAGCAACGCCGCGUGAGUGAAGAAGGUUGUCGGAUCGUAAAGCUCGGUUGUAAGAGAAGAACGAGUGUGAGAGUGGAAAGUUCACACUGUGACGGUAUCUUACCAGAAAGGGACGGCUAACUACGUG